rnacentral:ncRNA from 1 species
CUUAAUUUAACUCAACACGGGAAACCUCACCCGGCCCGGACACGGAAAGGAUCGACAGAUUGAUAGCUCUUUCUUGAUUCUGUGGGUGGUGGUGUAUGGCCGUUCUUAGUUGGUGGAGCGAUUUGUCUGGUUAAUUCCGAUAACGAACGAGACUCCGGCAUACUAACUAGCUCUUGCGGUUGGCUCCGGAUAACCAGCCUCGGUCGGUGAGCCGUUCGUGACAGGGCUGGGGUGCGGCCCCUCUCCUAUCUUGCACCGCAUGUUUGUGGAGAACCUGGUGCUAAAUCACUUUCAGACGACCUCAUUCUGGGUCG